rnacentral:rRNA from 1 species
CCUACGGGUGGCAGCAGUGGGGAAUAUUGGGCAAUGGGCGCAAGCCUGACCCAGCAACGCCGCGUGAAGGAAGAAGGCUCUCGGGUUGUAAACUUCUUUUAUCAGGGACGAAGCAAGUGACGGUACCUGAUGAAUAAGCCACGGCUAACUACGUGCCAGCAGCCGCGGUAAUACGUAGGUGGCAAGCGUUAUCCGGAUUUACUGGUUGGAAAGGGCGUGUAGGCGGGAAAGCAAGUCAGAUGUGAAAACCAUGGGCUCAACCUGUGGCCUGCAUUUGAAACUUUUUUUCUUGAGUACUGGAGUGGCAGACGGAAGUCCUAGUGUAGCGGUGAAAUGCGUAGAUAUUAGGAGGAACACCAGUGGCGAAGGCGGUCUGCUGGACAGCAACUGACGCUGAGGCGCGAAAGCGUGGGGAGCAAACAGGAUUAGAUACCCUAGUAGUC